ACAAAAAACAACUAAUAAAAAUGACAAACAAAAAUUACUAAAAAUAAAAAUAAACUGAAAAUAUAAAAAUAAAAGUUCAUUCAAAAUAUUAAUAAAAGCUGUUAUACACUACCGGUCAAAAGUUUGGAAACAUUACUAUUUUUAAUGUUUUUGAACGAAGUCUCUUAUGCUCAUUAAGGCUGCAUUUAUUUCAUAAUAAAUACAGAAAAAACAAUAAUAUUGUGAAAUAUUAUUGCAAUUUAAAAUAAAGGUUUUCUAUUUUAAUAUACUUUAAAAUAUAAUUUAUUUCUGUGAUGCAAAGCUGAAUUGUCAGCAUCAUUACUCCAGUCUUCAGUGUCACAUGAUCCUUCAGAAAUCAUUCUAAUAUGCUGAUUUAUUAUCAAUGUUGGAAACAGUUGUGCUGCUUAAUAUUAUUUUAUAACCUGUGAUACUUUUUCAGGAUUCUUUGAUGAAUAAAAAGUUAAAAAAUAUCAGCAUUUAUUUAAAAUAGAAAUCUUUUGUAACAAUACACACUACCGUUCAAAAGUUUGGGGUCAGUAAUUUUUUUUCUUUCUUUUUUUUGAAAGAAAUUAAUACUUUUAUUCAGCACGGAUGUGUUAAAUUGAUAAAAAGUGAUAGUAAAGAUUUAUAUUGUUAGAAAAGAUUUAUAUUUUGAAUAAAUGCUGUUCUUUUUAACCUUUUAUUCAUCAAUGAAUCCUGAAAAAAGUAUCACAGGUUCCAAAAAAAUAUUAAGCAACACAACUGUUUUCAACAUUGAUAAUAACUGAGUAUCAAAUCAGCAUAUUACAAUGAUUUCUGAAGGAUCAUGUGACACUGAAGACUGGAGUAAUGAUGCUGACAAUUCAGCUUUGCAUCACAGAAAUAAAUUAUAUUUUAAAGUAUAUUAAAAUAGAAAACCAUAAUUUUAAAUUGUAAAAAUAUUUCACAAUAUUAUUGUUUUUUCUGUAUUUAUUAUGAAAUAAAUGCAGCAUUAAUGAGCACAAGAGACUUCGUUCAAAAACAUUAAAAAUAGUAAUGUUUCCAAACUUUUGACCGGUAGUGUAUAUAAUGUUAUAUAAGUUAUUUUAAAUGUCACAUUUCACAAUAUAGUAUUUCAAAUGUUCUGUAUUUUUGAUCAAAUGAAUGCUGCCUUGGUGAGCGUAGCUUUCAUAAACAUUAAUAAAAAGAAAAAAAAGAAGAAAAAAAAAAAAGUUACUGACCCCAAACUUUUGUAUGGUAGUGUAUUUUAAAAACA